UGCAGGUAGAAACUGCUCAACCUCUGUCAAAAUUGUGUCUUGAGUUCCCUGAUCUCUACAUUGGGUGUUUCCGCAAGUCCAGAGUUGGGGCCCUCAUCAUUAAUUUUGUGGGGAAGGACCAAGCUAGAAUAGAGUUGGCAGUGCAAGCUUUAUACAAGAAAUUUAAUCAUGGAGCAUUCUCAGAAGUAAAUUGUAGGUGAUCUCUCUUGCUUGAAGUAUUGCCUCUGGACACUGAGGGGUUCUAUUUGACAGCUGCACUGCUUGCUUGAACCCCAAACGCAAUGUCUUUGGAGCUAGAAGGUGGAUUCUCGUCUUGAUCCAAUG